rnacentral:other from 1 species
GGAUGUCUGCCCGGUGCGUGAACCUCAUUAUUCCCUGGGGCCAAUGCACAUUACUAGGGAGCUGUCCCUGGCGGGGGUGUGCCCUCGUCAUCACGGCGCCCACCUGCGAAAGCAGGCCACGGUGGAAUGUGUAACGGUUGACGGCCACGGUGGUGCC